AAUGAACGCUGGCGGCGUGCUUAACACAUGCAAGUCGAACGAGAAAGGGAUUGCUUGCAAUCCUGAGUAGAGUGGCGCACGGGUGAGUAACACGUAAAUAAUCUACCUUCAAGCCUGGGAUAACUAUCCGAAAGGGUGGCUAAUACCGGAUGAAGUAUAUUGUCAUAAGUCAAUAUAUGAAAGAUUGCCUCUUCUUGAAAGCAAUUGUUUGAAGAUGAGUUUGCGGACCAUUAGUUUGUUGGUGGGGUAAUGGCCUACCAAGACUGCGAUGGUUAGCUGGUCUGAGAGGAUGAUCAGCCACACUGGAACUGGAACACGGUCCAG
rnacentral:rRNA from 1 species